ACAACGGAGAGUUUGAUCCUGGCUCAGGACGAACGCUGGCGGCGUGCUUAACACAUGCAAGUCUACGAGAAAGUGGUAGCAAUACUAUUAGUAAAGUGGCGCACGGGUGAGUAACACGUAAGCAAUCUACCCUUAGAUCUGGAAUAACUCAGCGAAAGCUGAACUAAUACCGGAUGAUGCAGCGGCAUCACAUGAUGAUGUUGUUAAAGUCUAUAUGACGUCUAGGGACGAGCUUGCGUCUGAU
rnacentral:rRNA from 1 species